GAGUGAGUAAUAGAAGAAGAAGAGUAAAACCAAAAACAGCCCACGCGACAAGGCCUUGGGGGGUUUCUACUCAGCAGCUUGCACACUCUCACUUGGUUCACUUUCAAAUUCCAAAUUGCAAAUCCCAAAACCAAAACCCUAGGAGAGAGACACGGAGGCACUGAAUGAUUGAUUGAUGGCAUCUUCCAAGUUAAUGGCUUCUUCCCAUUCACGGAACUCAGAGUCCUCCUCUCCUUCUCCCACGCCUCAAUUCACCACCACCAACUUCAUCCCCAUCUCCGACGCUGCCGUCACCGCCGCCCCCAAGACCGUCGAUGAUGUCUGGCGGGAGAUCGUGGCCGGAGACCGCCGCGAAUGCAAGGAGGAGGCUCCUGACGACGAGAUGAUGACUCUCGAAGACUUCCUCGCCAAGGCCGGUGCAGUCGACGAUGACAACAAUGAAGAAGUCGAUUGCGACAUGAAGAUUCCAAUGCCCCUCACGGAGAGGCUUGGCAGCGGCGUCUUCGCCUUUGAUCCCCUCCUCGCCGCGACGCCGUUUCAGGAUGGAGUGGAAGGCUCCGUCAUAGGGUUCGGGAACGGCGUGGAGGUGGUUGAAGGCGGGAGAGGAAAGAGAGCACGUCCCGUUUUGGAACAGUUGGACAAGGCAGCGCAACAGAGACAGAGGAGGAUGAUUAAAAACAGAGAAUCUGCUGCUAGGUCUCGGGAACGCAAGCAGGCUUACCAGGUGGAAUUAGAGUCCUUGGCAGUGAAACUAGAGGAGGAAAACGACAAGCUCUUGAAGGAAAAGGAGACAAUAAGUUUUGUUAUGUGUUGAACUUGAAAGUUGAAACCCUUCCAGUGCUGACUUUUCGUUUUUGGUUUGAUUUGGCUGAUCAUUGAUUGGGUUUUUGGCCUGGUCUUGUUCCCUGACCUGGUUCCGUUACCUUGCUGUUGGCUGCUAUCUAUUAAUAUUUGGGAUUGCAUUGAUGGACUUUCCUUUCGUAAACACGCUUGCAGGCCGAGAGGAAAAAAGAGAGGUACAAGCAGCUAAUGGAAAAAGUACUCCCUGUAGCGCAGAAACAAAAGCCACCGUGUAUACUCCGUAGGGCUCGCUCCUUGCAGUGGUAGAUAAAAUUUGCUAGUGGUGCAGCUGCAUGACAGUUACUGAAUUAGUCCCAUCGGUGGUGGGGAAGUAAUAACAGGACCAAACUAAUCAUCAUGUCUUAAAUGAUAGUUCUCAGCCUAACGGUUAGUGUCAAGGGCGAUCUUGGUUAAUGAUAUGAAGAAAUAGAUAGAAGGAAUUGAACCGGGAGGGGCAAGGAAAAUUCCUUAUUGCGUGAGAAACAGCAGUUACUUAUUCAUAGGUGUAAAAACAGAAAUAUGGAGUUGGACCAUGUAGUUUUAGAUAUGAGUUUGACAUCCUGGUCUCUCUCCCCUAUGCAGAGUGUCAAUGUGUAAUAGUAGAUAGCAAAGGGGGGGAUCUGUAGAUGAGUAUAUAUCCUAGUCAUGCACUCAGACCAUAUUUAUUUGGAGAAAAGUAUAUAGGAAUUGUUAAUGCGAUCUGGAAAAGCGUUACAGUUGGAAAA